rnacentral:misc_RNA from 1 species
GCGUAGUCAAGAAACACCGGCACGGGUCGCAGAGCCGCACUUUCUUUCUUUUUUUUCUUCGCAAGAGCCAACGCUGUUGGUCCGUCCUCAACAAACUCUUGGCACAAACUAAUGUUUGACAAACAAAUUUGAGCGUGUAUGGUGAACGUCAAACUGUCAACAACAACAAAAGAUGAAAAAUGUUUAACAAACAAAAUGUGAGCGUGUAGAGAUCUUGGCUAAAUCUAUGGGGCACUUUACUCUGACAACUGACAAGGCAGCAGUGGGAAGGGAAAUCACUCUCUUUUUUUUAGCGCUCUCUCUUGUUGACAACUGUCUAAGCGACCCGAGGCUUUUUCCUGUGGCGUUCCUUGGAAACUGUCAUGUCUGAGUAGGAGGGCUACUUCAAGAGAAAAUGAGUUCAAUUUCUAAUAGAAUGUUUGAAGUAUAACAUGUCAGUUGAGAGCCAUCCCACCUGCCAACUGAGGCUUUUGGGCUUAGAAGUUGGAUGAUGUGAGUUCUACCCCACACGUGGUACAGCUCAAUGAGGUUCCACUGCACUCAUGGCUCGGCUGUCCGCCUGUCCUCAAGCAGCAGUACAGCCACCAGAGAAGAGGACACCUUCUGCAAUGGCUUGGCCUUCUCUGAGCAACCCAUCAAAAUUAACCAACGGGUUUGCUUGGAGCUGGGCUCCUUGUCUACAUGGAGUGGUGGAAUCCGUAUAGGUGUGACCUCCUCCAACCCCAGCAAACUUGCUCCCGAGGAAUUGCCUCGAUUCGCGUAUCCAGACCUAGCUAACCGACAAGGAUUCUGGGUCAGGGUCUUGGGGGAGUCUCUGACAUGUACACCAGACUGUAGACUGACCGUAUAUCUGACCUCGUUUGGUCAGGUUCAAUUAUUCAUCAAUGGGCAACAUAAAGGAGCUUUACUUCUGGGUCUGCCGACCAAUCAAAACCUGUGGUUACUUCUGGAUAUCUAUGGCAAUACCAACAAGGCGACAUUUAUUCAGCCAGAUGAUGUUCCUAAAGAAAUUCAAGCCCGUGGCCCUGAAGUAGUUGAGGCCUAUGAACAGGCCUGUAUCUGGGGCACACAGUCAGUGUUCAGAUCUCGCCUCAUGCUUGUUGGCCAGGAGGGAGCUGGGAAGACCAGUCUGAAGAGAUCCCUCUUAGGACAGUGUCAUAACGAGACAGAGGAGACAACAGAGGGCAUAGACCUGUCAGCUUCGUGCUCCUUCUCACUGACCAGCAACAGGUCCUCUUGGAAGCUGGCCAUCAAGGGUGAUGAGACCGUGCGGCGAGAGAAGCUGCUGGACUCAGUGGACCUGGGAGUUUUAGGUAAUGCAGAAGGUCUGGAGGAGGAGUACAUCCGUGCUGUGGCUGCAAACAUUGCACAGGAGCUGAUGGCUGUGAGAAGGGAAAAGGCUGAACCUGGCCAGACAGCUGGAGGAAGAAGAGACUCUGUCAAGACAGACCCAACAAUCAACAAAACCAUGAAUUUCCAAGAAAGUGUUAAUAAGGAUGAUCUGCUCCAUGAGAUGAAAACCCUACCCAGCAUGCACCAAGAGGUUCCCGAUCAUGUUGUGGAUCUAGUCCAGGAGAUCCUACAACAGAAGAAAAACCAAGGGGCAAGAAAAGAUGGGGAAGAUCCUCAGGGUUUGGCGGAGAAACAGUUGCAGGAGCAGAGGGUGGUGCUCAAUAUCUGGGACUUUGCUGGCCAGGCCGCGUACUACACCACACAUCAGGUGUUCCUGACUCACCGAGCUGUUUACUGUAUAGUGUUCAACCUCUGUGAUGAUCUCACUGAAAACCGACCCGAAUCUGUAGACAAAACUUCUGGGAAGAACAACAAUACAAUGACCACUCUACAGUAUAUGGAUUUCUGGAUGAGAUCUAUACACGCCCAUGCUGCUGAAAACUCAAGUAACAAGGUGGAUAACACCCAGCUGUCUCCUCCUAUCUUCAUCGUGGGGACCCACAGAGACAGUGUCCAUCCAGACCCUGAAGUCAGAGAUCAGAUGGUUGAGGAAAAGUUUGCUGUAAUCCGCGAGUUUGUCCUGGGCAAGCCCUAUGUCCAGCACCUUGUGUUGCCUUUCUAUGCAGUCGAGAACGCACCAGAGUCAGAAGAAGAUCCAAAGCUCAACGAGUUGCGCCAAGAUGUGGAGCGUGUUGCCGGCCAACAGCCUUAUGUCGGAGAACAUCUACCUCUAAAGUGGCUGCGAUUUGAGCAGGAUUUUACUGUGCAGGCAGAUGCUGGAGUGAACUUUGCCUCAUUUGACCAGGUGUAUGAGCUGGCAGUUAACCACAGGAUCAGCGGCCCGGCAGAAGUGAAAGCAUUACUGCAGUUUUAUCACGACAUUGGCUCCCUGGUCCACUAUGGCAGUCAGAUGACCAGUGACCCAGUGCUCAGCAACACAGUGGUCCUCAACCCACAGUGGCUCAUCUCCAUGUUCCACAAGGUCACUGCCAGUUUUCCACCAAAGGAGCAGUGGAACUUGUUGUCGGACAAGUGGGCCCAGCUGAUAGAUCACGGAGUCCUGGACGAGAGUUUGCUGCCCGUGAUCUGGUCAGACAUGUCUGACCAUCAACCCUUCCUUUUGGCGCUGAUGUCGAAGUUUGACUUGAUUUGUCCCCGAUUGCCUCCUGCAGGACAGACUUACAGACAGACAAGUAAAAACUACUAUGUGCCAAUGCGAUUUGGUUCUUAUAAAGACAAGAAAAAAGUUUAUGCACAAACAGUGCACGAUGCUCAGUUUUUUGUGGAUUUUGGUGGAUUUUUGCCAGAUGGUCUGUUUCAUCGCAUCCAAGCCCGUGUGAUUAGCUGGUCCCAGGAACAUGGUGGUCGUGAUCUAUUUCUGGCACGGGGCCUAGCACGAGUCUUUGUAGACCCAGAUCACGACCUUCUGCUUGAGAUGUGUGCACCACAUCUACACCGCAUCAAGGUCCUAGUAAUGCAUGUCAAAGACAAAGAAGCGACGUCUUCUAAGCGAAACUCAAGCCCUUCCCCUCAUGUGGUGGCUAAGGUUCGCAACUUUCUGGAGUCAUGUCUUGUGGAUCUACGCAGCAUGUGGAUGAAACGCUUGGCUUACAACAUGUGCUUUGUAUGUCCAUGUGGACGGCCGUGUCUUCUUCACAACCAGGACAGCUGUCAGAUGGAGGAAUGUAUGCAUUUCCUUGACUUGGACGAAUGUCUAAGCAACCAGGUGGUGUGUUGUGAACACAGGAGAGUUAAGACAGAUGCCUUCAAGAAAUGGUUUCCUGAAUCACACCAGCAAGAGUUUAAAGAACCGAUCUUGAACCCGGUGACCAUAGAGCAGGGGCGAGGCAACAUAGAAAGAAACAUUCCCAACCUGCCCAGCUGGCUGAAGGGGGCUGCAAAACUCCUCAACGGAGCACCAGAGAACCAGGGCUGGAUAGCCCUAGCACAGCACAUGGGUUACAAACAAGGUCGUAUCGACUUGCUGAAUGAGGACUUGAACCCCUCGCUAGCCCUUCUCACAGACUGGAUCGUCAGCUCCGGCAACACGGCCAUGUCUGUGGACGUCCUGCUGCACCACCUGCAGCAGCUGCCGGCGCCGGAUAUUGUAGAGCUUAUCACCAGAGCCAAAGAGACAGAGCUGGAGCGGCCUCAGCUGUUCCUCAGCUACCAGUGGGACGUCCAGGACGAAGUGAGUGCGUUGAGGGACCACCUGGAACACGCCGGAUUCUCCUGCUGGAUGGACAUUGGUCAGAUGGGUGGCGGAGACCAACUGUCAGCGAAGAUUGACCAGGGUAUUCGGAACUGUAAGGUUGUUGUAGCUUGCGUCACACCCAAGUACACAGCAUCGCACCUGUGUAACAGAGAGCUGUGGCUGGCCGACCUGUUGCACAAGCCCAUCAUCCCCGUCAUCAUGGAGACUGUGAGCUGGCCGCCCCCUGGUGGGAUGGCUGUCAUCUUGUCACAGCUCGUCUACAUCAACAUGAAAGGUGUGGGUGGACAUGGUGGGACAGGCAUACAUGCUGACCUCAUGGACAAGUACACGGAAGUGGUCCAGCGCGUGUCUCUACACGCUGAGCCAGACCUGACCCCUUGUCUGGACACCACCGUGGUAGUCCCCGUCGAAGCCCCGACUCACAUGUCGGAUCAUCUCUCAGGUUACCGCACCAGCAUGAGCUCCCUGAGUGAGGUGGACUUCCAUCGUCACUCCAGCCACAGAGACUCCUCUCUAGACAUGAUGCUGUCCCGCUACGGGGACGCCCCGCCCGACCCCGCCUCUUUCAACACCUGGAGCCAUCAGGGCAGUACACGGACAGGGCCCAGGAACACAGCACACCGGAACGCAGUGCCUCAAGCACACGUGAAGAAGUGCGCUGUGUGUGUGGUUCUGUAGUCAGGAAUGCAGAACCUCAAGCACAUGUGAAGAAGAGUGCUAUGCGUGGUUCUGUAGUCAGGAACGCAGAACCUCAAGCACAUAUGAAGAGGUGCGCUGUGUGUGUGGUUCUGUAGUCAGGAACGCUGUACCUCAAGCAAAUGUGAAGAAGUGUGCUGUGUGUGUGGCUCUGUAGUCAGAUGCUGCUGUCUGUGGCAAAUCUGGAACCCCAAGCACACGUGAAAAAACAUGCCUUGUGUUUGGUUGUGCAGUUGUGACAAAAUAUUCUGUGUCUGAUCUUGAAUCCUGUACCCCAAGAAGUGUGUUGUGGGUGUGAUUCUGUAUUUAUAGGUGAAGUUUUAUGUCAAAUUGAGAAUCUUGUACUUCAUGCACACACGACGAAGUGUGUUGUUCUGUAUUGAGAUGAUGUACUUGUUGUGUCAAGUUUGUGUCCAGAACAUCAUGUCGUACAAUGCUGUUAUUAGUAAGGGGUCAUGGAAAGACCACGGUACUUAAAAUGCAUGGUUUCUUGUCCUUUAUUAUGUAAACUAUAACGGUGAAAUGUAGGGUGACCUUGUUAGCAUGAGCACAUUACCUCUUACUUCCACCUUUGACCCCUUAUUAAACAAUCUCUCUUCAGUCGUCAAGAUCUGGGGCCAGUCUCCUCAACACUGCAGGAAUGUCAGUUUCCUGAGACAAGUGUUGGUCCUUUCACUGAGGGUGUGUCCUUCCAGGUGUCAUGGAUAUUUUAGAAAUAACUUGUUAACAUUUCUGCUGUGAUUAUCUUUUUUAAAGGGGAGGGAUCACUAGCUGCCGCCCCACCUUUCUUAACCACGUUGGGGGCCAGCUAUAACAAAAUUGGUGUGAGCUGUCAUUUUUUCCUCUUAUAUUUCGUAUUGCCAAAGGCUGUGACUUCAUUUCAUACUCACUUCUUACCUUCGUUUAUUAUUUUUUGCAUGUACCAUUGCUUUGAAGACGUGGAAAAUGGCUGACUUGUCUAGUCGAGUGCUUCAUGGUCAUUGAAUUUAGGCUCUGUACAUUUAUCUAGUGAUUCUUGACUGAACCAGGUGGUAUCUCAUGAAACUGCUGAAACUUUUUGAGCUUUGAAUGUUGUCUUUGUGUUUCUUUGUGUCCAUUUUUUCUUACUUAAGAAAUAUUAAAUAUUAAAAUUAACCAUCAUUGUCUGACCAGAGUCAGUCUUUCCAACGUUAUGUGCUUGGGAAAGGCACUUUACACAAAUUUUCCGGUUUGGCUUGGUUCUACUGGAAGUGUAUGUUAAAUUCAGAGGUCCCUCUCCUUGAAUAACCUUAGUUUUGCAAGGGACUGUAAACCUAUACAAUUUCUUAAUUUUUUUUCCGCGAGUCAUUCUCUUGCUAUUUAGUUGGAUUAUAGAAUAGCCCUGGCUUUAAUGGAGUUUAGCAGCUGAGAUUAAAAUUUGAUGUACACUCGUAUAGCUUUUGUGAAAGUGAUAUUAAAAAACAUUUCAUUGCAUUCUUCUAUACCCACUUUUUUGAUGACCCAGAAAAGACUAUUUGCUUACAUAUAUAAUAUAUAUGGUGGAUUAAUUUUUUAGGUUACAAAGUGAUACAUUUAUAUGAAAAUGAUAUGAAAUUUAUGAAUACCCUUAAGCUGAGAAGGGCUUUUGUAGUGUCAUAGAAAUCCUAACUUUGUGUUCCAAAGGUUUCCUAUUCACUAUCAUUUUAUUAUAACAAUGAAGUUUAUGGUAUUUUCUUACUAAAGAAAAAGUAAAGUUUCCUAGUGCACUACACUCUUGUUUCAAAGAUGGAACCCUUUGCUGUUCAAAGUGGCCCCUGAUUCAAAAAGUAUGCUCACCCCUGGUCUAAACAGUAGGCCUAUGCCUGCAGCUGUCCAAAAAGGUAGCUUGUGCUAUGUGUGGGGAAAAGCGUCCUAAAUGAAGUGUGAGUGUAAAUCGUAUUUUUUGCAUUACUGUUUUGAGAUGUUUGCUCACCUACUCUCGAUUUAUGAUCAUAAAAGGUACUAUUUAUUUCUAUCCCAAUUUUGUUAACUGAAUAAAUCUUUGUUAAGCAAGAUUCAGUAUAUAAGAGGCAUCGCUUUGUGCUUUUCCUGUGCUAAUGAAAUGACUUAUCUUAUAGCUCUUCUGUUUGAAAUAAUCUGUGAUAUAAAACUAGCUCACUACAACUAGCAUUGAUUUUUCAGCUCAGAAAUAAAUUUAUAAUGUGUUGUAUUGUCAUGAAGUGUAACUGAUAAAGGACUGCAUUGUGUUGGUACCAUUUGUGUUGUGUUAUGUGGCUAUCCAGUAGUAGCCUUGAUCUAAAUCUCUAAUUUAGAUUAAUGAUGACAUGACAGUAAUGUUUCUGAGAAGUGAGUAUGUGAUGUUUUGUUAUGUUGGAAUGUAGGUUCAAAAAAGUACCCUUCUGGUUGACUUUGAGUGCAGUCCUACACAAACCUUUUUGUGGUUACAUUUGAAUGUAGUCACAAACACAUAUGUGGUUACAUUUGAAUGUAGUCACAAACACAUAUGUGGUUACAUUUGAAUGUAGUCACAAACACAUAUGUGGUUACAUUUGAAUGUAGUCACAAACACAUAUGUGGUUACAUUUGAAUGUAGUCACAAACACAUAUGAGGUUACAUUUGAACAUAAGCAGAAACAAAUGCCCCCUGAUUACAUU